ACGGGUGAGUAAUACAUCGGAACAUGUCCUGUAGUGGGGGAUAGCCCGGCGAAAGCCGGAUUAAUACCGCAUACGAUCUACGGAUGAAAGCGGGGGACCUUCGGGCCUCGCGCUAUAGGGUUGGCCGAUGGCUGAUUAGCUAGUUGGUGGGGUAAAGGCCUACCAAGGCGACGAUCAGUAGCUGGUCUGAGAGGACGACCAGCCACACUGGGACUGAGACACGGCCCAGGCUCCUACGGGAGGCAGCAGUGGGGAAUUUUGGACAAUGGGCGAAAGCCUGAUCCAGCAAUGCCGCGUGUGUGAAGAAGGCCUUCGGGUUGUAAAGCACUUUUGUCCGGAAAGAAAUCCUUGGCUCUAAUACAGCCGGGGGAUGACGGUACCGGAAGAAUAAGCACCGGCUAACUACGUGCCAGCAGCCGCGGUAAUACGUAGGGUGCAAGCGUUAAUCGGAAUUACUGGGCGUAAAGCGUGCGCAGGCGGUUUGCUAAGACCGAUGUGAAAUCCCCGGGCUCAACCUGGGAACUGCAUUGGUGACUGGCAGGCUAGAGUAUGGCAGAGGGGGGUAGAAUUCCACGU
rnacentral:rRNA from 1 species